rnacentral:rRNA from 1 species
UGCGUAGGCGGCGCGGUAAGUCGGGUGUGAAAUCUCGGAGCUUAACUCCGAAACUGCAUUCGAUACUGCCGUGCUUGAGGACUGGAGAGGAGACUGGAAUUUACGGUGUAGCGGUGAAAUGCGUAGAUAUCGUAAGGAAGACCAGUGGCGAAGGCGGGUCUCUGGACAGUUCCUGACGCGAGGCACGAAGGUCAGGGGAGCAAACG